rnacentral:rRNA from 1 species
AACGAACGCUGGCGGCAGGCUUAACACAUGCAAGUCGAGCGCCCCGCAAGGGGAGCGGUAGACGGGUGAGUAACGCGUGGGAAUUUACCCAGUGGUACGGAACAACCCAGGGAAACUUGGGCUAAUACCGUAUGAGUCCUUCGGGAGAAAGAUUUAUCGCCAUUGGAUGAGCCCGCGUCGGAUUAGCUAGUUGGUGGGGUAACGGCCUACCAAGGCGACGAUCCGUAGCUGGUCUGAGAGGAUGAUCAGCCACACUGGGACUGAGACACGGCCCAGACUCCUACGGGAGGCAGCAGUGGGGAAUAUUGGACAAUGGGCGCAAGCCUGAUCCAGCCAUGCCGCGUGAGUGAUGAAGGCCUUAGGGUUGUAAAGCUCUUUCGGCGGGGAAGAUAAUGACGGUACCCGCAGAAGAAGCCCCGGCUAACUUCGUGCCAGCCGCCGCCGUAAGAC